CGGGACGUGGCUCAGUCUGGUAGAGCAUAGCGUUCGGGACGCUAGGGUCGGAGGUUCGAAUCCUCUCGUCCCGACCA
rnacentral:tRNA from 1 species